GACGAACGCUGGUGGCGUGCUUAACACAUGCAAGUCGAACGGAAAGGCCCUGCUUUUGUGGGGUGCUCGAGUGGCGAACGGGUGAGUAACACGUGAGUAACCUGCCCUUGACUUUGGGAUCACUUCAGGAAACUGGGGCUAAUACCGGAUAGGAGCUCCUGCUGCAUGGUGGGGGUUGGAAAGUUUCGGCGGUUGGGGAUGGACUCGCGGCUUAUCAGCUUGUUGGUGGGGUAGUGGCUUACCAAGGCUUUGACGGGUAGCCGGCCUGAGAGGGUGACCGGCCACAUUGGGACUGAGAUACGGCCCAGACUCCUACGGGAGGCAGCAGUGGGGAAUAUUGCACAAUGGGCGGAAGCCUGAUGCAGCAACGCCGCGUGCGGGAUGACGGCCUUCGGGUUGUAAACCGCUUUCGCCUGUGACGAAGCGUGAGUGACGGUAAUGGGUAAAGAAGCACCGGCUAACUACGUG
rnacentral:rRNA from 1 species